GACAAUACAUGUCUAGGUCAGGAAAUCAAUCAGUUUGAAUGAAUGAACACCAAUUCUGCCAAGUGAAGAAGUCAAAGAUCUGACCAGAAUUGUACCAGAAGCUUGUUGAUGUCUAAUGUCUAUCAAAAGCAGGUGAUCAAGGUAAAGAAAGGAAAAAAUAUAACCAAGCAAAGUAAUCGACAUUUUCAUCUCAACAUGCUAAAAUUCAUACUCGCUAUGAUAUUUCUGAGAUACAUACCACAAUGUCACCACCUUGAAUAAACUGCAGGCGUGGCUGGAACAGCAGAAUGUCCAGGAUGUAGAUGCUAUCACACAAGUAGUCAGCAAUGAGAUACAGGUAGCAAUCUUGUCCAGUAGUCCCAAAUUUAAAAGCCCAGCGCACUGGGAUCAUCCAUACAUUCCAGUUCCAGGCCAAAGCAACAAAGAACAGCCACAGGACGUACAACAGACCUACAGAAACAGAAGAGGUUCUUACUGGUAAACGGAUCGAUGCUAGCUGGGAAACGGAUCUGAAGUAGGUGUCCGAUCCUGGACUGAGGCUUCACCUUAAAGCACAGCAGCUUGAUGUACUGUUCCUGUUGCACAACCUCCUCAGUAAAAGGAGCCUGGACCUCCUCUUCAGGUGCUGGUUCUUUUGGUGGCUCAGGAGGAGGAGGAGGCACUGGAGCUAAGCUUUAAGCAGAUCUCACAGCCAGGUGGUGUGUCGUCAUUCUCAUCAGGAUCGAUGAGUUUCUCCUUGGCGCGCUCUGUUCUCUCUUUAAAUAGUUUGACCAGUUCCUGCAGCCGUUCGUUUACCAUUGUGCUCGCUUGACUGGCUGCUGAUGACGGACGCUCUUUCAGCCUGGUAACACAGCACAGGACACACAAUAACCGGUGUUAUAAUAAUCUGCAAGGCUGUUUGCUGCUAUAGCUGAUACAAGCAAUCCAACAGCGGACCACAAAAGCAUGCAGGAUUUAAAAGAAAUGUAUUUGUCUUAAAUGUAUAUUUUUUAUAACGUUUCACAUUGUAAAUAAAGAGAGACCUUAGUUAACAUGGCAAUACCAAGAUCAAGCAGAAAGACAGAUAUGAAAAAGGAAAAAAAUUAUAUGCUUUUGGAUAAGCAUAUCCUCAAACAAAAUGUGGCUAGUUAGCUAGAAGUGAGUUUAUUAACACUGAGUUUGCAGUGUGAGCUCACAAACACAGAGAAUACCAAGUCUCUGAUGUUCAGUUAGACAACUUAGCUAUCCAGCUCGUUAGCUUGUUUAAAAUGACAAGGGCAAGAAACAUUAAGGUUUGGUUUUGGAAGAAUGUAAAUCCAGGCACCAUGUCUGGUUUUGCUACAGCUGAAAUUUAGCAACCCUAUCAAUCAGGUCAUGGGCUACAGUAAAACAAUUUUUCUGCACUUCUGUAUGAAAACCAUUUGCUGACCAAAUCUUAUUUUUGAUUGUAAUUAUAGACAAAAUUAGGCAUAACAGCAAAUAGGCUACAGUCAGUAAUUGAAAACAUUAUAUAUGUGAAUGCAUUUAUACAGGGUGAUUAUGUUAACACUUGAAUGGCGAAAACCAUUUAUUCACAAAACAUACUUCAUAUGUGUAAGAUGAUUUACAGGACAGUCUCAGCCUGUUCUCCAUCAUGUUCAACACACAAAAACCAGCGAGCAACUGUAUCAUUUAAAGGCACAUUUAGAGGGGAAUAGAUUCAUUAGUGUUAACAUAAUUUUGACUCACCCUGUGUAACAAAAGUGCUAGAUAAAAUGGUCAAAUAAAUGGUAAAUGGUACCUAAUAAAUGGAUGGAUAUUGUGUAUAUACAGAACUUUGUAUAGCUGUGUUAUUCUUAGUUAAGUGUUUUUUACCCAUCAUCAGCACUUGUAAUGCUGCUCUGACUUGCCCAGGCCCUAACUGUGGGCUCCAGCUCCUCAUCUUCCUCAUCUCCUGAAGAAUACAGCUUCUUUCUGUCAGUGAGAGUGAAAACAAACAAUCAUCUGUACAGUUUAUGAGGAAAACUGAUUAGUCAUUUAGAUGUUUGUCUAAAUAUAUACAGAUAAAAUAAAAACAGGUCACUAAAUAGUUUACUAAAUAUGAAAAUUAUAUGAAUUACAUGUUCUAUGGAGUCUAAUGGAGUCUAAUGGAGGUCUAUGAAAGUUUUAGACCAUGAAGUUUUAGACCAUGAAGACCAAUGUGUUACAUAUUGCUCCCC